AUUGAACGCUGGCGGCAUGCCUUACACAUGCAAGUCGAACGGCAGCACGGGGCAACCUGGUGGCGAGUGGCGAACGGGUGAGUAAUGUAUCGGAACGUACCAUUGAGUGGGGGAUAACGUAGCGAAAGUUACGCUAAUACCGCAUAUUCUCUCCGGAGGAAAGCAGGGGACCGCAAGGCCUUGCGCUCUUUGAGCGGCCGAUAUCAGAUUAGCUAGUUGGUGAGGUAAAGGCUCACCAAGGCGACGAUCUGUAGCGGGUCUGGGAGGAUGUUCGGCCACACUGGAACGGAGACGCGGUCCAGACUCCUACGGGAGGCAGCAGUGGGGAAUUUGGGACAAUGGGCGCAAGCCUGAUCCAGCCAUGCCGCGUGAGUGAAGAAGGCCUUCGGGUUGUAAAGCUCUUUCGGCCGGGAAAAAAUCGCAUGGGCUAAUACCCUGUGUGGAUGAUGGUACCGGAAUAAGAAGCACCGGCUAACUACGUGCCAGCCGCCGCAGUAA
rnacentral:rRNA from 1 species